rnacentral:rRNA from 1 species
GACGAACGCUGGCGGCGUGCCUAAUACAUGCAAGUGGAGCGCUGAAGGUUGGUACUUGUACCAACUGGAUGAGCAGCGAACGGGUGAGUAACGCGUGGGGAAUCUGCCUUUGAGCGGGGGACAACAUUUGGAAACGAAUGCUAAUACCGCAUAAAAACUUUAAACACAAGUUUUAAGUUUGAAAGAUGCAAUUGCAUCACUCAAAGAUGAUCCCGCGUUGUAUUAGCUAGUUGGUGAGGUAAAGGCUCACCAAGGCGAUGAUACAUAGCCGACCUGAGAGGGUGAUCGGCCACAUUGGGACUGAGACACGGCCCAAACUCCUACGGGAGGCAGCAGUAGGGAAUCUUCGGCAAUGGACGAAAGUCUGACCGAGCAACGCCGCGUGAGUGAAGAAGGUUUUCGGAUCGUAAAACUCUGUUGGUAGAGAAGAACGUUGGUGAGAGUGGAAAGCUCAUCAAGUGACGGUAACUACCCAGAAAGGGACGGCUAACUACGUG